rnacentral:rRNA from 1 species
UAGUAACGGCGAGUGAAGAGGAAAGAGCUCAAAGUUGGAACCUGUUUGGCUUAGCUAAACCGGAUUGUAAACUGUAGAAGUGUUUUCCAGACACGCCUGGUAAAAAAGUCCUUUGGAACAGGGCAUCAUAGAGGGUGAGAAUCCCGUCAUUGGCCAGAGCUGUUGUCUUUUGUGAUACAUUUUCAAAGAGUCAGGUUGUUUGGGAAUGCAGCCUAAAUUGGGUGGUAAAUCUCACCUAAAGCUAAAUAUUUGCGAGAGACCGAUAGCGAACAAGUACCGUGAGGGAAAGAUGAAAAGAACUUUGAAAAGAGAGUUAAACAGUAUGUGAAAUUGUUAAAAGGGAACCGUUUGGAGCCAGACUGGCUUGAUCGUAAUCACUCUAGGCUUUGGCCUGGAUGCACUUGCGGUCUAUGCCGGCCAACGACAGUUUUGUUUGAGGGAAAAAAUUACAUUGAAUGUGGCCCCUCGGGGUGUUAUAGCUUUGUAAAAAAUACCUUGGACGGGACUGAGGAACGCAGCGAAUGCCUUUAGGCGAGAUUGCUGGGUGCUUGCGCUGAUACAUGCUAGAAUUUCUGCUUUGGGUGGUGCUAGUGUGUAAAGGAGUAACCCGCUUAGUAUAUUUUUUAUUCGCUUAGGUUGUUGGCUUAAUGACUCUAAAUGACCCGUCUUGAAACACGGACCAAGGAGUCCACCAUUAGUGCAAGUAUUUGGGUGACAAACCCAUAUGCGCAAGGAAACUGAUUGAUACGAAGGCGCAAGCUGGCAGUAUCACCCGGCGUUGACGUUUUAUACUGAACUGACCGAGGUAAAGCACUAAUGAUGGGACCCGAAAGAUGGUGAACUAUGCCUGAAUAGGGUGAAGCCGGAGGAAACUCCGGUGGAGGCUCGUAGCGAUUCUGACGUGCAAAUCGAUCGUCAAAUUUGGGUAUAGGGGCGAAAGACUAAUCGAC